rnacentral:rRNA from 1 species
UACGGAAGGCAGCAGUGGGGAAUAUUGCACAAUGGGCGAAAGCCUGAUGCAGCUAUGCCGCGUGUAUGAAGAAGGCCUUAGGGUUGUAAAGUACUUUCAUCGGGGAGGAAAAAAACAAAACUAAUAAUUUUAUUUCUUGACGUUACCCGAAAAAGAAGCACCGGCUAACUCCGUGCCAGCAGCCGCGGUAAUACGGAGGGUGCUAGCGUUAAUCAGAAUUACUGGGCGUAAAGAGCACGUAGGUGGUUUUUUUAAGUCAGAUGUGAAAUCCCUGGGCUUAACCUAGGAACUGCAUUUUGAAACUGAAAUACUAGAGUAUCGUAGAGGGAGGUAGAAUUCUAGGUGUAGCGGUGAAAUGCGUAGAUAUCUGGAGGAAUACCUGUGGCGAAAGCGGCCUCCUAAACCGGAAUACUGACACUGAGGUGCGAAAGCUUGGGGAGCAAACCAGGGGUUUAGAUACCCGU